rnacentral:rRNA from 1 species
GGCUUAAAGUUUGAUCAUGGCUCAGGACGAACGCUGGCGGCGCGCCUAACACAUGCAAGUCGAACGGAGUUGAGAGGAGCUUGCUUUUCUUGACUUAGUGGCGAACGGGUGAGUAACGCGUGAGGAACCUGCCUCAAAGAGGGGGGCAACAGUUGGAAACGACUGCUAAUACCGCAUAAGCCCACGGGGCCGCAUGGCCCUGAGGGAAAAGGAGCAAUCCGCUUUGAGAUGGCCUCGCGUCCGAUUAGCUGGUUGGUGAGGUAACGGCCCACCAAGGCGACGAUCGGUAGCCGGACUGAAAGGUUGAACGGCCACAUUGGGACUGAGACACGGCCCAGACUCCUACGGGAGGCAGCAGUGGGGAAUAUUGCACAAUGGGGGAAACCCUGAUGCAGCGACGCCGCGUGGAGGAAGAAGGUCUUCGGAUUGUAAACUCCUGUUGUUGGGGAAAAGAAGGAUGGUACCCAACAAGGAAGUGACGGCUAACUACGUGCCAGCAGCCGCGGUAAAACGUAGGUCACGAGCGUUGUCCGGAAUUACUGGGUGUAAAGGGAGCGCAGGCGGGUAUGCAAGUUGGGAGUGAAAUACAUGGGCUCAACCCCAUGAACUGCUCUCAAAACUGUGUAUCUUGAGUAGUGCAGAGGUAGGCG